GGUGAUAGUUUUACUGGUCGAUAAACUGGUCGAUAAACUCACAAAUAUAAGUAGUGUGCUACAUGAGGGGCAAAUCUUUCACUAACACCACAAGGGUCUCUGGCCCAAAUGAAUACAAUUUGAUAGUAAUUCUUGCUACAAAU
rnacentral:snoRNA from 1 species